UACGUAGGGGGCAAGCGUUGUCCGGAAUCAUUGGGCGUAAAGAGCGUGUAGGCGGCCCGGUAAGUCCGCUGUGAAAGUCCAGGGCUCAACCCUGGGAUGCCGGUGGAUACUGUCGGGCUCGAGUCCGGAAGAGGAGUGGUGGAAUUCCUGGUGUAGCGGUGAAAUGCGCAGAUAUCGAGGAGGAACACCAAUGGCGAAGGCAGCAGCUCUGGGAGCGUGACUGACG
rnacentral:rRNA from 1 species